rnacentral:rRNA from 1 species
CACGUAGGGCGCAAGCGUUGUCCGGAAUUAUUGGGCGUAAAGAGUUCGUAGGCGGUUUGUCGCGUCGUUUGUGAAAACCCGGGGCUCAACUUCGGGCUUGCAGGCGAUACGGGCAGACUUGAGUGUUUCAGGGGAGACUGGAAUUCCUGGUGUAGCGGUGAAAUGCGCAGAUAUCAGGAGGAACACCGGUGGCGAAGGCGGGUCUCUGGGAAACAACUGACGCUGAGGAACGAAAGCGUGGGUAGCAAACAGG